AGAGUUUGAUCCUGGCUCAGGAUGAACGCUAGCGACAGGCUUAACACAUGCAAGUCGAGGGGCAGCGGGGGAGCAGCAAUGCUCCCGCCGGCGACCGGCGCACGGGUGAGUAACACGUAUGGAACCUGCCCGCAGCAGGGGGAUAAGCGGAAGAAAUUCCGUCUAAUACCGCGUAACACCGCGGAGGGGCAUCCCUCGGCGGUUAAAGAUUCAUCGGCUGCGGAUGGCCAUGCGGCGCAUUAGCUAGUCGGCGGGGUAACGGCCCACCGAGGCGACGAUGCGUAGGGGUUCUGAGAGGAAGGUCCCCCACACUGGUACUGAGACACGGACCAGACUCCUACGGGAGGCAGCAGUGAGGAAUAUUGGUCAAUGGCCGGGAGGCUGAACCAGCCAAGUCGCGUGAGGGAAGACGGCCCUACGGGUUGUAAACCUCUUUUGUCAGGGAGCAAGAGGCGGGUCGGGACCUGCUGUGAGAGUACCCGAAGAAAAAGCAUCGGCUAACUCCGUGCCAGCAGCCGCGGUAAUACGGAGGAUGCGAGCGUUAUCCGGAUUUAUUGGGUUUAAAGGGUGCGCAGGCGGAGGCACAAGUCAGCGGUAAAAUCGCGGGGCUCAACCCCGCUCCGCCGUUGAAACUGUGUCCCUUGAGUGCGCGAAGGGUAGGCGGAAUGCGUGGUGUAGCGGUGAAAUGCAUAGAUAUCACGCAGAACUCCGAUCGCGAAGGCAGCCUACCGGCGCGCAACUGACGCUCAUGCACGAAAGCGUGGGUAUCGAACAGGAUUAGAUACCCUGGUAGUCCACGCAGUAAACGAUGAAUGCUAUCUGUCCGGCCGGAAUGACGGCUGGGUGGCACAGCGAAAGCGUUAAGCAUUCCACCUGGGGAGUACGCCGGCAACGGUGAAACUCAAAGGAAUUGACGGGGGCCCGCACAAGCGGAGGAACAUGUGGUUUAAUUCGAUGAUACGCGAGGAACCUUACCCGGGCUCAAACGACACAGGGAUGCCGCCGAAAGGUGGCAGUCCUUCGGGACCUGUGUCGAGGUGCUGCAUGGUUGUCGUCAGCUCGUGCCGUGAGGUGUCGGCUUAAGUGCCAUAACGAGCGCAACCCCCAUCUUCAGUUGCCAUCAGGUAGAGCUGGGCACUCUGGAGAGACUGCCGGCGCAAGCUGCGAGGAAGGCGGGGAUGACGUCAAAUCAGCACGGCCCUUACGUCCGGGGCUACACACGUGUUACAAUGGCAGGUACAGAGGGCAGCUACCCAGCGAUGGGAUGCGAAUCUCGAAAGCCUGUCUCAGUUCGGAUUGGAGGCUGAAACCCGCCUCCAUGAAGUUGGAUUCGCUAGUAAUCGCGCAUCAGCCAUGGCGCGGUGAAUACGUUCCCGGGCCUUGCACACACCGCCCGUCA
rnacentral:rRNA from 1 species